rnacentral:misc_RNA from 1 species
AUCUUAACCUUUAUUAAUUUAAUUAAACUACAAAACAUACAUGCACUUUCACAAUUUAACGUAAUUUAAUAACAAAAUAAUUAAUACAUAUCAAAUCAAAUAUAUUAUACUUACAAAUUUGCUGAAAUUUCGGCAGAGUUUUUCCUAAAAAAUUGGACAUUUAUCAAAUUUUAACAAAAUACAACCUGCACAAAAUUGUUAUCCUGGCCUGCAUAUUUACUCAUGCAUCUUCUACCUCAACAAGAAAACCACAUAAAAAUAAAAAUAAAAUAAAUAAAAGGAAAGAGUUAAACCUCCAAAGCAUCAAUCUCUUCCA